CAGAACUGCUGGUAAAAAAAAAAAAAAAACACUCAGCCCACAUGCUCGGUAUCUCCGCCGCCUUCUUCGGAAGAAGUUCUUCCCAGCCGGCGGCCCCGCAUGGCCGCAUAACGUCCGGCGAGGGUGCUUCCCCAGAUCUUCCGGUCGUCCUCAUCUUCCCACGCCCCCUCACCUUCCGGCCAACCCCGUGGUCGCGUACGUCUCUGCCGCCCCCACCACGCCGGCACAGUCCACCACACGGCAGAUCCAGAUGGGAUCCGCAAUCUGACUCGCAGUACCGUCGCAGCAGCAUGCAACGGAGACCAUUGCCGUUGCUGCAGACCAUCCGGAAGCAGUGUGCCGGAUCCCGACGCCACGGCCUCUGCGAGUGCCUCGCCGGCAAGCCGAGCGCCGCCUCCUCCGACGAGCAGGCCGUCCACCGGCGCCAAAGGGAAGCCCCCACCACCUUCAGAGCGUUGCCCUCUACCAACACGGCAACGGGAUUUUGACUAUUAUUUCAGGUGUAUUUUAGAGCGAAUUCGGGUUGAUGAAUGUUCCAUUAGGCAAUAGCAUAUUUGAGUGGUAUUACAGGCAGUAAUCAGGAUCUGAUUAUGCAGCUAUGGAAAUAGCCGUUUCCAGUAUGCAGCUAUGGAAAUUCUGGAGCUAAAGAUGUGAGUGGCCCAAAUAGGACAGGACAUUCUGCAGAAGACCUCAUAGAUGCGGCUGAAAAGCACCCUGGAUGGAAGGAAAAUAGUCUGUUGCAUGGCCAUCUAGCAAGUGCUCACUGGACACAACCGGCAUCAAAUGGAUCAGAUCAAUACUUCAUAAAAAGAAAUACAUGCAACAUGUGGUGAAACCGGCGGUUCACGUCAAUGAUAUUUCUGUAAUGGGAGAGUCGUUGGAUACAUCCUUUACCCAUUGUUUUGUAAACCUAUACCGAGUAUUGGCACUGAACAAUACUUUUCCCUAUAUGCCUUUGGUUUAUGAGAAAUUUGGAUGGUAAUUAUGUUGAUAAGAGAUGAACUAUUUGUAUGUGAGAAUUAAUUGUUUUGUUU